GCCGCGUGCAGGAAGACUGCCCUAUGGGUUGUAAACUGCUUUUAUACAGGAAGAACCACACCUACGUGUAGGUGCUUGACGGUACUGUAUGAAUAAGGAUCGGCUAACUCCGUGCCAGCAGCCGCGGUAAUACGGAGGAUCCAAGCGUUAUCCGGAAUCAUUGGGUUUAAAGGGUCCGUAGGCGGGACAAUAAGUCAGUGGUGAAAGUCUUCCGCUCAACGGGAGAAUUGCCAUUGAUACUGUUGUUCUUGAAUUAGUAUGAAGUGGUUGGAAUGAGUAGUGUAGCGGUGAAAUGCAUAGAUAUUACUCAGAACACCUAUUGCGAAGGCAGAUCACUAAUACUAUAUUGACGCUGAUGGACGAAAGCGUAGGUAGCGAACAGGAUUAGAUACCCUGGUAGUCUACGCCGUAAACGAUGGUCACUAGCUGUCCGGCCUAAUUGAGGGCUGGGUGGCUAAGCGAAAGUGAUAAGUGACCCACCUGGGGAGUACGUUCGCAAGAAUGAAACUCAAAGGAAUUGACGGGGGCCCGCACAAGCGGUGGAGCAUGUGGUUUAAUUCGAUGAUACGCGAGGAACCUUACCAGGGCUUAAAUGCAGUCUGACAGGAGUGAAACACUCCCUUCUUCGGACAGAUUGCAAGGUGCUGCAUGGUUGUCGUCAGCUCGUGCCGUGAGGUGUCAGGUUAAGUCCUAUAACGAGCGCAACCCCUUUCGUUAGUUGCCAGCGAGUCAUGUCGGGAACUCUAGCGAGACUGCCGGUGCAAACCGUGAGGAAGGUGGGGAUGACGUCAAAUCAUCACGGCCCUUACGUCCUGGGCC
rnacentral:rRNA from 1 species